AUUACAAGAUAAAUCAAAUAUAAUAUUCAUGCAAUUUCAUAUUAUAAAAUACUAGUGAGAAAUGUACUCACCUCUAGUGGACACGAUUAUCCCAAAAUAUUAGUCUCAUUGAUAUCAACCAGAUCCUUAACUGAUUUUGAACUUGGGGGUGUUGAUCACGUUCCUUCCUUUCCUCUCCUAUUCCUCCGUUCUCCUACUUGUUCAUUUAGGUUUGGAAAAGAAACAGUGGAAAUGUGAGAGAGAAACGAAUGAGGGUUUUCUUAGGUUAACAGACACUAAAUACUUAUCCUGCCACCUCAACUCUCCUAUAAUAAGAGGCCAACACAUAUUUAAGAAGCUGUAAACGGGACAGCUCAAGCUGGCUAUUACAGGUCAAUUCCAACUUAUGGACCUUUUGAACACAUCCCCUUGAACAAGAGUUCAGCUUUCGACCCAUAGACAAGGAUCCUCAUUUACUUAACCCUUUCUUUUUACGGUCAUGUUUUGGAGCGAACCUAGUUAUUGAUCCGAUGACAGAAGAGGAAGCUUGCCAAGAUGGAAGCCUCAUGAUCACAUGUAUGCCAACUCGUCACGAGAUCACUCAACUCACUCUCACUGGAGAAUGGUCGACUGCCAAAAUCAACGAGGCAAUGGAUCUAUGCCUUGAUGCUUGUUCAAAGUUUGCCGGCAUCAUGAGAUCAUGUCUAAAGGAAUCAGUCUCUUCAUAAAAGCUAAUUCUUGGAGUACCUACUUGUUAGUGAGAGAGAGAACCUUAUUUUUUGCUGUUUCUCACUUUGUAACUCAAUGUUUUUGUUGUGUUGUAUAAUGAUGUAUACAUUUUGUUAACAUAGAUUAUUAGAUUAGGUAAAAACUCGAUUAUCUUA